rnacentral:rRNA from 1 species
UACGGGGGGAGCAAGCGUUGUUCGGAAUUACUGGGCGUAAAGGGCGCGUAGGCGGCCUGCUAAGUCGAACGUGAAAUCCCCGGGCUCAACCCGGGAACUGCGUCCGAUACUGGCAGGCUUGAAUCCGGGAGAGGGAUGUGGAAUUCCUGGUGUAGCGGUGGAAUGCGCAGAUAUCAGGAGGAACACCAAUGGCGAAGGCAGAUCUCUGGGCCGUAACUGACGCUGAGGAGCGAAAGCAUGGGGAGCGAACAGG